CUUUUAGAGAACUUUUAGGCAAAGUUGCGCAAGGUCACGAAAACAUCGCCUUCUGCGUGUGUGUUUUAUAGAAAAUAAUAACGUUUGAAGUCACCGUUAUGGAGACGUUGCAAGAAAAAAAAAAAAAAAAAAAGAUGUUGAUUCAAUCAUCAGAGUGUCCUGGUUUACUGAUCUUCUCUGGAGACUGAACUCUGUGUAUUAACUGAAGAGCUGGCAGUACACAGUUUGUCCUGGGCCUCCUCCCCUCUGUCACAGCGAAUGAGAGACGCCUGGCUUACGCCCCCUAACCUGGAAAAUAUUUCCCACCUUUUCCAUGAGUACAUUGACUCCUUGUUCUGUUCUCUGGAAAUGACAGGGCAUUUAGUACAGUACUCACUUAAAUUGCUAAUAUUUUUAGCCAAUAUAAUAAUUUUAAUGAAACUAAAAUAAAAUGAUUAUUUUAUACACUAUAUCAUAUUUAUUAAUAUGUGACAUUCUUUAGACAAACAUGUUGCUAUGACAACUGCACAUGACUACAGCAAGAAUCUACUAUCCCUGCCUUAUUGGUCCAAAACACAAAAAUGUCAAGAGUUUGAGGAAAAUGAUAAAACAUUGAUUGUAAAGUCUAUGGAGUCUAUGAAGAGAAAAAAAAUAGCUGUAUUACAAAUAAAUCAAAUCCUCAA